AUUGAACGCUGGCGGCAGGCCUAACACAUGCAAGUCGAACGAGUGGCGGACUGGUGAGUAAUGUCUGGGAAACUGCCUGAUGGAGGGGGAUAACUACUGGAAACGGUAGCUAAUACCGCAUACCAUCGGAUUUGCCCAGAUGGGAUUGGCUGGUAGGUGGGGUAAAGGCUCACCUAGGCAACGAUCCCUAGUUGGUCUGAGAGGAUGACCAGCCAAACUGGAACUGAGAGACGGGCCAGAAUCCAACGGAAGGCAGCGGUGGGGAAUAUUGAACAAUGGGCGCAAGCCUGAUGCAGCCAUGCCGCGUGUAUGAGGAAGGCCUUCGGGUUGUAAAGUACUUUCAGCGGGGAGGCGUUACCCGGAGAAGAAGCACCGGCUAACUCCGUGCCAGAAGACGCGGUAAUAC
rnacentral:rRNA from 1 species